rnacentral:rRNA from 1 species
GACGAACGCUGGCGGCGUGCUUAACACAUGCAAGUCGAACGGAAAGGCCCUGCUUUUGUGGGGUGCUCGAGUGGCGAACGGGUGAGUAACACGUGAGUAACCUGCCCUUGACUUUGGGAUAACUUCAGGAAACUGGGGCUAAUACCGGAUAGGAGCUCCUGCUGCAUGGUGGGGGUUGGAAAGUUUCGGCGGUUGGGGAUGGACUCGCGGCUUAUCAGCUUGUUGGUGGGGUAGUGGCUUACCAAGGCUUUGACGGGUAGCCGGCAUGAGAGGGUGACCGGGCACAUUGGGACUGCGAUACGGCCCAGACUCCUACGGGAGGCAGUAGUGGGGAAUCUUGCACAAUGAGCGGACGCCUGAUGCAGAAACGCCGCGUGCGGGAUGACGGCCUUCGGGUUGUAAACCGCUUUCGCCUGUGACGAAGCGUGAGUGACGGUAAUGGGUAAAGAAGCACCGGCUAACUACGUG